rnacentral:rRNA from 1 species
GUCGAGCGAAUGGAUUAAGAGCUUGCUCUUAUGAAGUUAGCGGCGGACGGGUGAGUAACACGUGGGUAACCUGCCCAUAAGACUGGGAUAACUCCGGGAAACCGGGGCUAAUACCGGAUAACAUUUUGAACUGCAUGGUUCGAAAUUGAAAGGCGGCUUCGGCUGUCACUUAUGGAUGGACCCGCGUCGCAUUAGCUAGUUGGUGAGGUAACGGCUCACCAAGGCAACGAUGCGUAGCCGACCUGAGAGGGUGAUCGGCCACACUGGGACUGAGACACGGCCCAGACUCCUACGGGAGGCAGCAGUAGGGAAUCUUCCGCAAUGGACGAAAGUCUGACGGAGCAACGCCGCGUGAGUGAUGAAGGCUUUCGGGUCGUAAAACUCUGUUGUUAGGGAAGAACAAGUGCUAGUUGAAUAAGCUGGCACCUUGACGGUACCUAACCAGAAAGCCACGGCUAACUACGUGCCAGCAGCCGCGGUAAUACGUAGGUGGCAAGCGUUAUCCGGAAUUAUUGGGCGUAAAGCGCGCGCAGGUGGUUUCUUAAGUCUGAUGUGAAAGCCCACGGCUCAACCGUGGAGGGUCAUUGGAAACUGGGAGACUUGAGUGCA